rnacentral:rRNA from 1 species
UAAUGGCCUACCAAGGCUUCGACGGGUAGCCGGCCUGAGAGGGUGACCGGCCACACUGGGACUGAGACACGGCCCAGACUCCUACGGGAGGCAGCAGUGGGGAAUAUUGGACAAUGGGCGAAAGCCUGAUCCAGCAACGCCGCGUGAGGGAUGACGGCCUUCGGGUUGUAAACCUCUUUCAGCGCCGACGAAGCGAGAGUGACGGUAGGCGCAGAAGAAGCACCGGCCAACUACGUGCCAGCAGCCGCGGUAAUACGUAGGGUGCGAGCGUUGUCCGGAAUUAUUGGGCGUAAAGGGCUCGUAGGCGGUUUGUCGCGUCGGGAGUGAAAACCCAGGGCUUAACCCUGGGCCUGCUUCCGAUACGGGCAGACUAGAGGUAUGCAGGGGAGAACGGAAUUCCUGGUGUAGCGGUGAAAUGCGCAGAUAUCAGGAGGAACACCGGUGGCGAAGGCGGUUCUCUGGGCAUUACCUGACGCUGAGGAGCGAAAGUGUGUGGAGCGAACAGGAUUAGAUACCCUGGUAGUCCACACCGUAAACGUUGGGCGCUAGGUGUGGGGCCUAUUCCAUGGGUUCCGUGCCGCAGCUAACGCAUUAAGCG